GACGAACGCUGGCGGCGUGCUUAACACAUGCAAGUCGAACGGAAAGGCCCUGCUUUUGUGGGGUGCUCGAGUGGCGAACGGGUGAGUAACACGUGAGUAACCUGCCCUUGACUUUGGGAUAACUUCAGGAAACUGGGGCUAAUACCGGAUAGGAUCUCCUGCUGCAUGGUGGGGGUUGGAAAGUUUCGGCGGUUGGGGAUGGACUCGCGGCUUAUCAGCUUGUUGGUGGGGUAGUGGCGUACCAAGGCUUUGACGGGUAGCCGGCCUGAGAGGGUGACCGGCCACAUUGGGACUGAGAUACGGCCCAGAAUCCUACGGGAGGCAGCAGUGGGGAAUAUUGCACAAUGGGCGGAAGCCUGAUGCAGCAACGCCGCGUGCGGGAUGACGGCCUUCGGGUUGUAAACCGCUUUCGCCUGUGACGAAGCGUGAGUGACGGUAAUGGGUAAAGAAGCACCGGCUAACUACGUG
rnacentral:rRNA from 1 species